rnacentral:rRNA from 1 species
CCUACGGGGGGCAGCAGUGAGGAAUAUUGGUCAAUGGACGAGAGUCUGAACCAGCCAAGUAGCGUGAAGGAUGACUGCCCUAUGGGUUGUAAACUUCUUUUAUAUGGGAAUAAAAUGUUCCACGUGUGGGAUUUUGUAUGUACCAUAUGAAUAAGGCUCGGCUAACUCCGUGCCAGCAGCCGCGGUAAUACGGAGGAUCCGAGCGUUAUCCGGAUUUAUUGGGUUUAAAGGGAGCGUAGGUGGAUUGUUAAGUCAGUUGUGAAAGUUUGCGGCUCAACCGUAAAAUUGCAGUUGAAACUGGCAGUCUUGAGUACAGUAGAGGUGGGCGGAAUUCGUGGUGUAGCGGUGAAAUGCUUAGAUAUCACGAAGAACUCCGAUUGCGAAGGUAGUUCACUGGACUGCAACUGACACUGAGGCUCGAAAGUGUGGGUAUCAAACAGGAUUAGAUACCCGAGUAGUC